rnacentral:ncRNA from 1 species
AACUCUGGAGAGAGACCGGCCGUAAUCGGUCCACCGACGGGGCAAGCCUAGCUGGGGUAUCGCACCUCUCUAGGUCUAUCUCUCAGGUACUGGACAGAGGAGG